rnacentral:rRNA from 1 species
UACGUAGGGUGCAAGCGUUGUCCGGAAUUAUUGGGCGUAAAGAGCUCGUAGGCGGUUUGUCGCGUCUGCCGUGAAAGUCCGGGGCUCAACUCCGGAUCUGCGGUGGGUACGGGCAGACUAGAGUGAUGUAGGGGAGACUGGAAUUCCUGGUGUAGCGGUGAAAUGCGCAGAUAUCAGGAGGAACACCGAUGGCGAAGGCAGGUCUCUGGGCAUUAACUGACGCUGAGGAGCGAAAGCGUGGGGAGCAAACAGG